rnacentral:lncRNA from 1 species
UGGAGUGGAAACAACGCCAGAUAACGCCCGGCAGACGCCCAUUUUUAUCAGUGAAGUUCUAGAAUCAUGUGUGUCAUGUCCCGUUAUUUUUAUUAGCUAGGGCAAUAGCAUCAGCAGUAUGGACCAUAGUUUUGCAAUUGCCACUGGUCCAUGGUGUAAAGUGAUUGUUCAGUGGAUACCAAGGACUUUGGAAUUCUUUUUCAUUGUUACUCCACUAUGGAUCCCUCUUAAGUCUCCAGUGAUAUCGGUCCUGAUACCGUAAUUUACCAGCUCUUUACCAGAAAAAAUGUAAAUGAGGCCUACAUUCUACAAUUAAAUAAUGUUUCAUUACUAGAACAGUCAAAUUAUAACAAAAGUCUUCCAACUAAAAUAUUUGCACAUGGUUGGGGUGGUUUUCCAGACCAAGGAUAUUCGUCUAAAGAUGAAUACCUACUCCAGGAGGACUGUAAUUUUAUAUCGGUGGACUGGUCUGUUCUAGCUGAAGGUGACCAUGUAACUGUUUCUUUAAUCAAUGUACCUAUAGCUGGAGCUGCAACUGGGGCAUUUGUGGAUAUUCUCAUUGGUCAAGGAACACCACUCUCAGAUUUUUUACUGAUAUUGUCCAACCAAUAUACAAUUUGUAUUGGAAGAUUUCACUUUAUAUUUAUGUAUUUUCAAAUGUUACAGAAUGUUGCAAUCACUGUCGCGUCGUGGACCUUUAUGCGGAAUCCAUCAACAGCCCCUUAGGCUUCAAUGCAUUUCAGUGCGAUUCGUGGGAAAAUUACCAAAAUGGAGAUUGCCAAGAAAACGUCAAUACGUUGAUGGGCGAACCAGUUUCAAUAAAUGUCCGAGGAUCGUUCCUUUUAGCAACAAACAGGGAAUCGCCGUUUGCCCAAGGAUGACUUUUAAACUUGGCUGAAAACGUCUCACCUCCAAUGAUUUAUCGACUGAAGUAGCUAGAAUGUUAUACAAGUCCACAAUAAUACCUUUACUCAGCAGCAUGAAAGAUGAAAUCCCCGCAUGCCAGUUGCCGGGCAAUAUUCAAGGAGUCCAAGUGUUACAGCAACAACAGGUGUAGGCGCUGUAACUGCUGGAGGUGUUAGCUACCUCCAAUGGAUGGUAAGCAACCCACCCGAAGAUUGAUAUGACGACGAUGCGGUUAACACUAAACAUCUAUCAACACAUUCUUCAUCUUCCUCGGCACUUGGGAAGCAGGUUGAAACUAGACCAGUUUUCCGGUGUCCAAAACCGACCACGAAUCCAAUUCUUGUCCAUGUAUUCCAGCAGCCUUGCCAGUUCCUGUGGUGCUGAGUCCCGCAAACCGUCAAAUACGGAAGGAAGAUACGCAAGGCAAAGAAGACGGAAUACAAAAUCUCGAAUUGGAUUGGGCCCUUUUUUGUUAUAAGCUGAAGAAAGCUUUAGGUCGCGAAUCUUCUUCAAGAUAGCUUGACACCAAUGGAAAUUGCAUCCUUGGUGGAUGCAAUUUCCAAAAAGCAAUUUCCAAAUAAUCGAAGGUUCAUCCCUUCUAAUGAUCCGUGACUCACUGGAAAGAUAGUGAUCCAAACCAAUAAAUUCCGAUAAACAAAAGCUCAUCAAUAUGAAUGAGUCAUUCAUGUUCAUUAAAGAAAAUUCUAGAACCGACAAAGAUAAAGGUAUUUAUUUGCGGGAUACUGCUUGCAAAUACGCUUACUGGUAAUUGUUUCCUACCAAAUUUUUAUACUGGUCAUCUUCCAUAGCUACCAGAAACUUAGAAGUUAAUACUUUAUAUUGUGUGGUUCAUAAAAAAAUUUAACAAAAAUUAAACAGCAAUCAUUGUUUAUUAAUGUAAUGCAUCGUACAUAACGUAAUGCAUACCCUAUUACAUCGGGAAAGGGUGCAAGAAUGCAGCAGAAAACUAACACGUAUGAUGAUAUUCAACAUUACCAAGCUUACAGAAUAUUCAUCAAUUUUUCAUAAAAUGAGCUGUAUAAAUCACUUCAUAUACAAUGCAUUAAUGCAAGAAAAUAAAAAAUCGGAGUUAAAACAAAAUUUUUUUGGCUGUUUCAAUGUAUGCAUAAACGCCAACGCUGUUCUGUCGGCUGAAAACUAUAUAACCCGUGCCUGUACGAAGCCGGAUAGGACCUACGAAGGGGAGAAAUAGGACCCAUCUAGCGGAGAAAUAGGACCCUAAAAAGAAAGUUUGAAAAGGGGGGCCUAUUUCUCCGGGUCCUAUUUCUCCAUGGCUUUUUCUUGGGUCCUAUAUCUCCGGGUCCUAUCUGUCGGGGUCCUAUUUCUCCGGCUACCGACCUUGUGGGCAAUCAUUUUUGUUUCUCAGGGAAAGAAUGUGUUAGCAGCAAUUGCCUUUUCAGCUGCCUUAAACUUUAAGCAGAUGGAGUUGUAUCAUGCAAUACUUCUAUUUGCUGGCUUCUAUUUGCUGGCUUCCUGUCAACCUAAAGGUUCCUCACUUCCCUCCCAACUAAAGAAUUUGGUCCAGAUUGGCGCUGCCACAGUGGCGACCUUUGCAAUCAUUUGCGUGGAAUCUUUGAAGACUAUGUCGCCAAUUUUUGGUGCACGCUAAAUGUUGUGAUCAAAAUCAAACGACUAUUAAACCCAACCUCAAUCGCCUCGGGAACUAUCACCUAGGCCAUGCCCGUGCCUGAAAGAAAAAGUCAGGACGUUGAUUCGAACGGAUUCGAAUGCAACGAGCACUAAGUACGGUCACAUUAUUGGAGGAAUGACCGUGUGCUUGGUUCGUGAUUUGGAGUCACAAGUGAUAGCUGCAAGCUGAUAUCACUCGAACCACUGCACCAACCCGACUAAGCGUAUACUUACCUAUCAUACUUACCAUACGAAAUUUGCUUCAUCAAGUCUUUUAUACUGUCUCAUAGAUGAUCGAAAAAAGCUGCAGCUCAUUAUGGCGUCAGUUUAGCUUUAAUGCUAAAUUUCGCAAACACGGUGAACUAGAUUGACAAUAAUAAAAAAUGAACUUUAUUCGUCA